AGCGAACGCUGGCGGCAGGCCUAACACAUGUAAGUCGAACGAAGCCUUCGGGCUUAGUGGCGGACGGGUGAGUAACACGUGGGAACGUACCUUUUGGUUCGGAACAACUCAGGGAAACUUGAGCUAAUACCGGAUGAGCCCUUAGGGGGAAAGAUUUAUCGCCGAAAGAGCGGCCCGCGUUAGAUUAGCUAGUUGGUGAGGUAAAGGCUCACCAAGGCAACGAUCUAUAGCUGGUCUGAGAGGAUGAUCAGCCACACUGGGACUGAGACACGGCCCAGACUCCUACGGGAGGCAGCAGUGGGGAAUCUUGCGCAAUGGGCGAAAGCCUGAAGCAGCCAUGCCGCGUGAAUGAUGAAGGUCUUAGGAUUGUAAAAUUCUUUUACCAGGGACGAUAAUGACGGUACCUGGAGAAAAAGCCCCGGCUAACUUCGUGCCAGCCGCCGCGGUAAGAC
rnacentral:rRNA from 1 species